AGUUCUCCGGAAGACUACAGAACGGAACCUGAGCCAGGGUGACCACUAGACUGAGCUGGGGCGAACCCUGGGCGGGGGCGGGGGCCGAGGCACGGGGCCGCAGUCGUUGUUCCAGCUGCCACCGUGACUGGCCUAGGUCCGCCUCCGCCAGCGCUGGGCCCGGCUGAAUCAGACCUCGGGCGUCCGGCGGCGGGUCUGCUGCCGAACGGAGGGCGCAGGUGAGCCUAGGACGCUGAGCGCGCUGCCCUACUCUGCCUCGGCGGGGUGGAGGGCUGGCCGGGGGUGCUGGACAGACUUGUGCAGCUCCGUGAAGUGCAGCCCCGACCCCCUGGCGCCUGUUCUCACGAAGUCGCUUUUAAGACUAGCGAGCUGACUUCGGGGAGCCAAGAGAUUUUUCUGCGUUUCCUCAGGCAUCGGUGAGAACUCUCAAGUCUCCAGCCAUGCAGCUACAGGCCCUCCUCCAAAAGGACCGCCCCAUGCCACAAAGGGAGCCACUCGAGUUUUCAUGGCAUCGAGCUGGCGAACUCUGACGUGCAUCCUUGACAACAAGAGUUGCUUGUUAACCUCCCAGGGAGGAUCCCUUUCCUUAGGAGGGCCAGGCUGAGGGGGUCAGGGCUGGCCAGGUCUGGACUAUGCCAUCCAAGUCAGCUUGCCUGCGUCACACUGAGGCACCUGGGCAGCUAGAAGGCAGAAUGCUCCAGGGACAGCCUCCGAACACGGAAAAGAAGCUCAUCCCAACACCAGGCUUCUUACCAGCCUCUGACUCUCAGGGUUCAGAGACAAACCCCAUGCCUCCUUUCAGCAUUCCAGCAAAAACAAGCAACCAGAACCCACAAACUAAGGCAAAUCUCAUCACCCCACAGCCACCCAUUAGACCCAAGUUGGAGCGAACCCUGUCCCUCGAUGACAAGGGCUGGAGAAGGAGGCGUUUCCGGGGUAGUCAGGAGGAUCUGACUGUCCAGAAUGGGGCCAGUCCCUGCAGGGGCUCCUUGCAAGACUCAGUAGCCCAGUCCCCUGCCUACAGCCGUCCCCUGCCCUGCCUCAGCACAUCCUUGCAGGAGAUACCUAAGUCCCGAAGGGCCACAGGCAGUGAGGGAGGGAGCCCAUCCUUGUGGAGUGACUGUCUUUCUGGAAUGAUCAGCACCUCCUUGGACCUCCUGCACAGAGAUGCUGCCUCAGGUGGGCCCCCCUCCAGGUUGGCAAGUUUGCAUGCCUCACACACACCACCAGCUAUGGACCUCAGCAUAGCCUCCAGCUCCCUGAGAACAGCAAACAAGGUUGACCCCGAGCACACGGACUACAAGCUCCGCAUGCAGACCAGACUGGUCAGGGCCCACAGCAACCUGGGCCCUAGCAGACCCCGGAGCCCCUUGGCUGGUGACGAUCACUCCAUUCACUCAGCCAGAUCUUUCAGCCUUCUGGCCCCCAUCCGCACCAAGGACAUCAGAAGCAGGAGCUAUCUGGAGGGAAGUCUUCUGGCCAGUGGGGCCCUGCUAGGAGCAGAAGAGCUGGCCAGGUACUUCCCAGACCGAAACAUGGCUCUCUUCGUGGCUACCUGGAACAUGCAGGGCCAGAAGGUGAUGGUGCAGGGCCUUGCUCUUGAACCUCUGCUCCCAACCUGAGGGAACCCAGCGGUCUUGACUGUUUUGUGGUCUUCACCACAGGAGCUCCCAGCGAGCCUGGAUGAGUUUCUGCUCCCCACCGAGGCUGACUACACUCAGGACCUGUAUGUCAUUGGAAUUCAGGAGGGCUGCUCUGACAGGCGGGAGUGGGAGACACGCCUGCAGGAGACACUGGGCCCUCAGUAUGUACUGCUGUCAUCAGCAGCACAUGGGGUCCUGUACAUGUCCCUGUUUAUCCGUAGGGACCUCAUCUGGUUCUGCUCAGAGGUCGAGUACUCCACAGUAACUACACGCAUCGUGUCUCAGAUCAAGACCAAGGGGGCCCUGGGCGUCAGCUUCACCUUUUUUGGCACCUCCUUCCUCUUCAUCACAUCUCACUUCACCUCUGGAGAUGGGAAGGUAGCAGAGCGGCUACUGGACUACAGCAGAACCAUCCAAGCCCUAGCCCUGCCCCGGAAUGUGCCAGACACAAAUCCCUACCGCUCUAGUGCAGGGGAUGUCACUACCCGGUUUGAUGAGGUCUUCUGGUUUGGGGACUUCAACUUCCGCCUGAGUGGUGGACGAGUGGCUGUGGAGGCCUUCCUGAAGCAGAAACCUGAGGUGGAUGUGCUGGCUCUCCUCCAACACGACCAGCUCACCCGGGAGAUGAAGAAAGGGUCCAUCUUCAGGGGCUUUGAGGAGGCAGAGAUUCACUUUCUUCCAUCCUACAAGUUUGACAUUGGGAAGGACACCUACGACAGCACCUCCAAGCAAAGGACACCCUCCUACACAGACCGAGUCCUAUACAAAAGCCGUCACAAGGGUGACAUCUGUCCCAUGAAGUAUUCCUCUUGUCCUGGGAUCAAGACUUCAGACCACCGUCCUGUGUAUGGCUUGUUCCAGGUGAAAGUGAGGCCAGGACGAGACAACAUCCCAUUAGCUGCCGGCAAGUUUGACCGAGAAUUGUACUUGAUAGGAAUUAAAAGGCGGAUUUCAAAGGAGAUUCAGAGACAGGAAGCACUGAAGAGCCAGAGCUCCAGUGCAGUUUGCACCGUGUCCUGAAGAUUCCAGACCAGGACUGGCCACAGCAACGGGGGCCAAGGUCACUGCAAAGGAUGGGCUUCUUCUCAGCUGCUCCUGUAAUGCUGGGAUUCUAAUCCACCACGGCCAGGGGCUCCCUGCUCUCACCACAGACCCAGCCCUCAGGACAUUUAUACCAUGUUCCCACAGGCACAUGGCAGGGCAUGUGGACACCAAGCAGCAGUUUUGUCCUCAGGAGUAGUCCAGACUUCUUGCCCUUGAGCACUGCUGUCUCUUCAAACUCCUUUUAUUUAUUCCUGUUCUCAUGCUAGAGCCCAGGUUCUCCAUCUGUAUCCUCCUAGUAGCUCCUUCCCUCCAGGGAAGGAUCAGGCAACCUCUGGUAUCCUAGAUGCUCAAUGCCUAGAACCUGCCAGGACUUCAAUUCUGGGAUAUUCCCUACAGACAUUUUGACAGGCUUUGAGGUUCUACAUCCUGGUCCCAGGCUCCCAACCCCCAGUUGAGUAGGGACCUCUCCACUCUACAGGCCAAGCCUAGCUAUAUUAAACUCAUAGUUUUUAGGAGCUUCAGACCAUUUGCUUUUGUGCUGCUAGUCCCGGAAAGGCAUGAGAAAUUGUUACCAGACAGCACCUUGCUGGGUUUCACUCCUUGAAGAAAGCUUAGGAGCAUCAUUGCUCUCAAUCUUACCCCACCCCUUCAGACAUAGCCUUGAAUGUACAGACACCUAGGGGCAUCCACUCUAGUCUUCUAAAUCAUUUAUUUUUCCAUAUUUAUAUUUUUAAAUAAAUAAGGAUAUAUUCAAUUGUAAACUCUUUCUGGCCAAAGAGUGAACCUUGGAAGAAGUCUGCAUGCAUCUUGGGGCCUCAGGACACCCCAGGGUUUUAAAAGGACAUAGAAGUCAAAGGCCAAACAUUUGGUCUCAGCUGUCACCUGCUACUCAGUCCCAUCCCAGGUCUUUCUGCUAGGUACUGUCCCUGCUCACAGCCAGAAGCAGCAAUAGCUGGAAAAAGUGACGACUUGGGACUCCAGUGAACCAUAAUAAACCAACGAAUAAGGUGAAACUCAACAGCAUCAGCUUCUCCAAUAUGGAAAGUCACCUGCUUCAAUAAACCACUGUGAACUGCAAAUUCUACUGGGAAGACAGCCUUUUCUCUCCCAGACAGGCUGCCCUGGACUUCAUAAUCCUGCCUCAACUAUUCCUGGCUUGAAUAAGGUUUGAUGUGGUAAGAGUUCCAGACAGGUUUCUCUGUAGCCCCGGCUGUCCUGGAACUCUCUGUAGACCAGGCUGGCCUCGAACUUGGAGAACCACCUGCUUCUGCCUCCUGAAUGCUGGGAUUAAAGGCGUGCACUACCACAGCCCAGCAGUUUGGUGCUUCUUUGUGGACAUUCUCUGGCACCUUAGAAAAGACUGAGGUAAUCCUGGAACUUCCCAGUUUGGCCCAAGAUCAAGAUCAUAAAGUCUUAGGGGUCGGGGGGCAAAGUACAGCCAUAGCAAUUUACAUUUAGAUAGCCUUUACAUUUAGAGGGCAUUUCAGUUGGAAAAGUUAAACACGUAAACUAGUGCAGAUGAAGUGGGAAAUUAAAACUGGACUUGUAAAUAAUUGUGAGAUACAA